rnacentral:lncRNA from 1 species
UAGUUGCAACUUAAGGUAGGUGAUGGAUUUUUUUUUGGUUGAUCGAGGAUUUGUUGGAUUGUUCCGUGGGUUUGGAUUUUAGUAGUGAUUUAUUGAUGAUUUUGGGAGCAGUGAUCUUUGUUAUUUAUAUGCCCUAUAAGCCAAUACGUGUCAUAACUUAUAGGGCUAAUAUCAGUGUACUUUUAUUUAAAAUUAAUAAACUGGUAUUCUUCAUUCAUAUUAUAGCCAAAUGCAUAAAUAUGAAUCGUCCAUAGAAUUAAUAGUAGAAGAAUUAUAUUUCUAAGAUGUUAGAAAUUUGAGACAUAUAUUCUUCUAUAAUUAAUUCUUAAAUACUCUUGAUCAUAGGAUUAUCACGAGGGCGGUGAUAAAUUCGGUUAAGAUCAGUGUAUGUUGUACUUCCUUUAUAGGAUGACGAGUCUCAAGUCAUUAAUGUGGUGA